rnacentral:rRNA from 1 species
GACGAACGCUGGCGGCGUGCUUAACACAUGCAAGUCGAACGGAAAGGCCUGCUUUCCCUUGUGGAUUGCGGGUACUCGAGUGGCGAACGGGUGAGUAACACGUGAGUGGUCUGCCCCCAACUUGGGUAUAAGCCUGGGAAACUGGGUCUAAUUCCCGAUAGGACUGCAGGGUGGUGCCUGUGGUGGAAAACGAUUUUCUAGUGGUUGGGGAUGAGCUCGCGGCCUAUCAGCUUGUUGGUGGGGUAAUGGCCUGCCAAGGCGGCGACGGGUAGCCGGCCUGAGAGGGUGGACGGCCACAUUGGGACUGAGAUACGGCCCAGACUCCUACGGGAGGCAGCAGUGGGGAAUAUUGCACAAUGGGCGGAAGCCUGAUGCAGCGACGCCGCGUGGGGGAUGACGGCCUUCGGGUUGUAAACUCCUUUCGACCGCGAGGAAGCCACCUGGUUGGAAGGGUGGUGACGGUAGUGGUAGAAGAAGCACCGGCUAACUACGUG